UUAGCUGCAGGCUGCCUCUUUGUAGCCUCCUUUCCAUCUCAGGCUGUCUGCGGACUCAAUGCAGCAGUAUGGCGGGAGACUUUCCUGCAGCUGCAGCAUUACUUUACUAGUGACUACAAGGAAGAAAAGCUUUACUGUGGCAUCAUUUAGUUCCCAGCCCGUGCCUCCCCACCACACCAAAGAUCUGGGAGUGGGGCUGAGGCUAUGACUAGUUGUUCUCAUAAGGAUUGCUGCUAGGAAAAGCAACCACCUGGCAUGCUCUGGAGAGCCAAGUAUGAAGUGCAGAGGAGCUGUUACAGGCCACUCUUUCACACUUUCCCCCAGAAGCUACCACAGGUAAUGAACAAAUUACACUUUUGCCUGCUUUUCCUGAUGUGUGCAUUGUUGAUGAAAUGCCAGAAUAAUGACAACUCUUUAAUAAAUUGAGAAUUUACAGUACAAAGCCAGGGGGAAAAGAAGAAAGCAGAAUUGAAAGCAGAUUUUAAGAUCUGUUUCUUUACAAUAUAUUGUGUAAAACUAAAAAGGGGGAUAUUACAUUCAUUGCUGAGUAUGUAUAAACCGAGAUCCUGACUGUCAUUUAAAACAUGCAAUGUUCAGAUUCAUUAUACAUGAACAUUGUUACAAAUACAGAACCUCUAUCAUG